UACAAGCUGCGUUGUACGUAAUCAUAAUAAAGUUUUAACCUUUAGACUGUUAUAGGGAGUUUUAAAACAAAGCUAAAAUGACAGGCCUCUGUCUAUACGACAUGGGGGACAUGCAGGAACUUUGUGCGAACACCCACUUUGAGGAGUGGUGGUUUAAAACUUUCUUAUAUUUAAUACGGCAAUUGCGGCUCCACU
rnacentral:other from 2 species